GGGGACCGCUGGACAGUUCGUGAGGUUUUGGCCCUCUCAAAAGCCAACAACCCCAAGCUAGUCUUUCUUUGUGAGACUAGGCAAGAGGAAACUAAAAUGGAGAAAUUGAAGUGGAGAUUGGGCCUAAAAGGCUUUUAUGGUGUCAGUAGUGAUGGACGAAGUGGCGGUCUCGCAUUGUUCUGGGAGGAGACACUUUCAGUGACAGUGCUCGAAUCGUGUAACAAAUUUAUUGAUGUAUGA
rnacentral:rRNA from 1 species